rnacentral:tRNA from 1 species
GGGGCCAUAGCUCAGUUGGUAGAGCGCAACACUGGCAGUGUUGAGGUCAGGGGUUCGAAUCCCCUUGGCUCCACCA